GACAGAGGGUGCAAACGUUGUUCGGAAUUACUGGGCGUAAAGCGCGUGUAGGCGGCUAUGCAAGUCGGAUGUGAAAGCCCUCGGCUCAACCGGGGAAGUGCACCCGAAACUGCAAAGCUAGAGUCUCGGAGAGGAUCGUGGAAUUCUCGGUGUAGAGGUGAAAUGCGUAGAUAUCGGGAGGAACACCUGUGGCGAAAGCGGCGCACUGGACCACAACUGACGCUGAGGCGCGAAAGCUAGGGGAGCAAACAGG
rnacentral:rRNA from 1 species